rnacentral:rRNA from 1 species
GACGAACGCUGGCGGCGUGCUUAACACAUGCAAGUCGAACGGAAAGGCCCUGCUUUUGUGGGGUGCUCGAGUGGCGAACGGGUGAGUAACACGUGAGUAACCUGCCCUUGACUUUGGGAUAACUUCAGGAAACUGGGGCUAAUACCGGAUAGGAGCUCCUGCUGCAUGGGGGGGGUUGGAAAGUUUCGGCGGUUGGGGAUGGACUCGCGGCUUAUCAGCUUGUUGGUGGGGUAGUGGCUUACCAAGGCUUUGACGGGUAGCCGGCCUGAGAGGGUGACCGGCCACAUUGGGCCUGAGAUACGGCCCAGACUCCUACGGGAGGCAGCAGUGGGGAAUAUUGCACAGUGGGCGGAAGCCUGAUGCAGCAACGCCGCGUGCGGGAUGACGGCCUUCGGGUUGUAAACCGCUUUCGCAUGUGACGAAGCGUGAGUGACGGUAAUGGGUAAAGAAGCACCGGCUAACUACGUG